rnacentral:rRNA from 1 species
UCCAGACUCCUACGGGAGGCAGCAGUCGGGAAUAUUGCGCAAUGGAGGAAACUCUGACGCAGUGACGCCGCGUAUAGGAAGAAGGUUUUCGGAUUGUAAACCAUUGUCGUUAGGGAAGGUAAAAGACAGUACCUAAGGAGGAAGCUCCGGCUAACUACGUGCCAGCAGCCGCGGUAAUACGGAAGGUCCGGGCGUUAUCCGGAUUUAUUGGGUUUAAAGGGAGCGUAGGCCGGUCUUUAAGCGUGCCGUGAAAUUUUGUGGCUCAACCAUGAGAGUGCGGCGCGAACUGGAGACCUUGAGUGCGCGGAAGGCAGGCGGAAUUCGUGGUGUAGCGGUGAAAUGCUUAGAUAUCACGAAGAACCCCGAUUGCGAAGGCAGCCUGCCGCAGCGUUACUGACGCUGAAGCUCGAAAGCGCGGGUAUCGAACAGGAUUAGAUACCCGAGUA